rnacentral:rRNA from 1 species
CUACGGGGUGCUGCAGUGAGGAAUAUUGCACAAUGGGGGGAACCCUGAUGCAGCAACGCCGCGUGGAGGAUGACGCAUUUCGGUGUGUAAACUCCUUUCAUAUGUCAAGAAAAUGACGGUAGCAUAUGAAUAAGCACCGGCUAACUCCGUACCAGCAGCCGCGGUAAUACGGAGGGUGCAAGCGUUACUCGGAAUCACUGGGCGUAAAGGACGCGUAGGCGGGUUGGAAAGUCAGGUGUGAAAUCCUACAGCUUAACUGUAGAACUGCACUUGGAACUUCUAAUCUAGAGUAUGGGAGGGGGAGAUGGAAUUAGUGGUGUAGGGGUACAAUCCGUAGAUAUCACUAGGAAUACCUAAAGCGAAGGCGAUCUCCUGGAACAUUACUGACGCUAAGGCGUGAAAGCGUGGGGAGCAAACAGGAUUAGAUACCCCGGUAGUC